GUUGUAUAGUUAAGUGAGAAAGCGUACAGGGCGGAUGCCUUGGCAAUCAGAGGCGAAGAAGGACGUGCUAAUCUGCGAAAAGCGUGGGUGAGUUGAUAAGAAGCGUUUAACCCACGAUGUCCGAAUGGGGAAACCCGAUAGGCGAAGAGCCUAUCAUUGCGAGGUGAAUAAAAUAGCCUCGUAAGGCGAACCGGGAGAACUGAAACAUCUAAGUACCCCGAGGAAAAGAAAUCAACCGAGAGAUUGUGAGUAGCGGCGAGCGAAAGCGGAGGAGCCAGUAAGUAAUAGCAGCAGAGAUAGAGGAAUUGUCUGGGAAGGCAAGCGACACAGGGUGAUAGCCCCGUACUUAAAAUCCAGGCUGUGGUACUAAGCUUACGAGAAGUAGGGCGGGACACGAGGAAUCCUGUCUGAAGAUGGGGGACCAUCCUCCAAGGCUAAAUACUCCUGAUUGACCGAUAGUGAACCAGUACUGUGAAGGAAAGGCGAAAAGAACCCCGGUGAGGGGAGUGAAAUAGAACCUGAAACCCUGUACGUACAAGCAGUGGGAGCCCGCAAGGGUGACUGCGUACCUUUUGUAUAAUGGGUCAGCGACUUAUAUUUUGUAGCGAGGUUAACUGAAUAAGGGAGCCGAAGGGAAACCGAGUCUUAACUGGGCGGUGAGUUGCAAGGUAUAGACCCGAAACCCGGUGAUCUAGCCAUGGGCAGGUUGAAGGUUGGGUAACACUAACUGGAGGACCGAACCGACUAAUGUUGAAAAAUUAGCGGAUGACCUGUGGCUGGGGGUGAAAGGCCAAUCAAACCGGGAGAUAGCUGGUUCUCCCCGAAAUCUAUUUAGGUAGAGCCUUGUGUGAAUACCUUUGGGGGUAGAGCACUGUUUCGGCUAGGGGCCCAUCCGGGUUACCAAACCGAUGCAAACUCCGAAUACCAAAGAGUAAUGCACAGGAGACACACGGCGGGUGCUAACGUCCGUCGUGGAGAGGGAAACAACCCAGACCGCCAGCUAAGGUCCCAAAAUCUAUAUUAAGUGGGAAACGAAGUGGGAAGGCUUAGACAGCUAGGAUGUUGGCUUAGAAGCAGCCACCAUUUAAAGAAAGCGUAAUAGCUCACUAGUCGAGUCGGCCUGCGCGGAAGAUGUAACGGGGCUAAAAUAUAGUACCGAAGCUGCGGCAUCAAUCGAAGGAUUGUUGGGUAGGGGAGCGUUGUGUAAGCGGAAGAAGGUGGUUCGAGAGGAUUGCUGGACGUAUCACAAGUGCGAAUGCUGACAUAAGUAACGAUAAAACGGGUGAAAAACCCGUUCGCCGGAAGACCAAGGGUUCCUGUCCAACGUUAAUCGGGGCAGGGUGAGUCGGCCCCUAAGGCGAGGCUGAAAAGCGUAGUCGAUGGGAAACGGGUUAAUAUUCCCGUACUUGGUAAAGCUGCGAUGUGGGGACGGAGAAGGUUAGGUUAUCGACCUGUUGGAUAUGGUCGUUUAAGUUGGUAGGUGGGUGAGUUAGGUAAAUCCGGCUCACCGUUAACACUGAGAGAUGAUGACGAGGCACUAAGGUGCUGAAGUAACUGAUACCACACUUCCAGGAAAAGCCACUAAGCUUCAGGCUUUACUAAACCGUACUGAAAACCGACACAGGUGGUCAGGUAGAGAAUACUCAGGCGCUUGAGAGAACUCGGGUGAAGGAACUAGGCAAAAUAGCACCGUAACUUCGGGAGAAGGUGUGCCGGCGUAGAUUGUAGUGACUUGCUCACGAAGGUUGAACCGGUCGAAGAUACCAGCUGGCUGCAACUGUUUAUUAAAAACACAGCACUCUGCAAACACGAAAGUGGACGUAUAGGGUGUGAUGCCUGCCCGGUGCUGGAAGGUUAAUUGAUGGUGUAAUCGAAAGAGAAGCUCCUGAUCGAAGCCCCAGUAAACGGCGGCCGUAACUAUAACGGUCCUAAGGUAGCGAAAUUCCUUGUCGGGUAAGUUCCGACCUGCACGAAUGGCAUAAUGAUGGCCAGGCUGUCUCCACCCGAGACUCAGUGAAAUUGAAAUCGCCGUGAAGAUGCGGUGUACCCGCGGCUAGACGGAAAGACCCCGUGAACCUUUACUAUAGCUUGACACUGAACCUUGAAUUUUGAUGUGUAGGAUAGGUGGGAGACUAUGAAGCGGUAACGCCAGUUAUCGUGGAGUCGUUGUUGAAAUACCACCCUUUAACGUUUGAUGUUCUAACGAAGUGCCUGAAACGGGUACUCGGACAGUGUCUGGUGGGUAGUUUGACUGGGGCGGUCUCCUCCCAAAGUGUAACGGAGGAGCACGAAGGUUUGCUAAUGACGGUCGGACAUCGUCAGGUUAGUGCAAUGGUAUAAGCAAGCUUAACUGCGAGACAGACAAGUCGAGCAGGUGCGAAAGCAGGUCAUAGUGAUCCGGUGGUUCUGAAUGGAAGGGCCAUCGCUCAACGGAUAAAAGGUACUCCGGGGAUAACAGGCUGAUACCGCCCAAGAGUUCAUAUCGACGGCGGUGUUUGGCACCUCGAUGUCGGCUCAUCACAUCCUGGGGCUGAAGUAGGUCCCAAGGGUAUGGCUGUUCGCCAUUUAAAGUGGUACGCGAGCUGGGUUUAGAACGUCGUGAGACAGUUCGGUCCCUAUCUGCCGUGGGCGUUGGAGAAUUGAGAGGGGCUGCUCCUAGUACGAGAGGACCGGAGUGGACGCAUCACUGGUGUACCAGUUGUCUCGCCAGAGGCAUUGCUGGGUAGCUAAAUGCGGAAGAGAUAAGUGCUGAAAGCAUCUAAGCACGAAACUUGCCUUGAGAUGAGUUCUCCCAGUCUAUAAGACUGUAAGGGUUGUUGGAGACUACGACGUAGAUAGGCUGGGUGUGUAAGCGGUGUGAGCCGUUGAGCUAACCAGUACUAAUUGCCCGAGAGGCUUAACUAUACAACGCUCAAGGGUUUUG
rnacentral:rRNA from 1 species